AUUGAACGCUGGCGGCAUGCUUUACACAUGCAAGUCGAACGGCAGCACGGGGGCAACCCUGGUGGCGAGUGGCGAACGGGUGAGUAAUGCAUCGGAACGUGCCCCGUCGUGGGGGAUAACACAUCGAAAGAUGUGCUAAUACCGCAUACGACCUGAGGGUGAAAGCGGGGGACCGCAAGGCCUCGCGCGAUGGGAGCGGCCGAUGUCUGAUUAGCUAGUUGGUGGGGUAAAGGCCUACCAAGGCGACGAUCAGUAGCUGGUCUGAGAGGACGACCAGCCACACUGGGACUGAGACACGGCCCAGACUCCUACGGGAGGCAGCAGUGGGGAAUUUUGGACAAUGGGGGCAACCCUGAUCCAGCCAUGCCGCGUGCGGGAAGAAGGCCUUCGGGUUGUAAACCGCUUUUGGCAGGAACGAAACGGUGCGGGCGAAUACCCUGUGCUAAUGACGGUACCUGCAGAAUAAGCACCGGCUAACUACGUGCCAGCCGCCGCCUAACAC
rnacentral:rRNA from 1 species